rnacentral:misc_RNA from 1 species
AACGCACAUUGCGCCCCUUGGUAUUCCGGGGGGCAUGCCUGUUCGAGCGUCAUUACAACCCUCAAGCUCGGCUUGGUCUUGGGCGUCACCGGCCCCCGGUGUGCCUUAAAAUCAGUGGCGGCGCCAUCUGGCUCUAAGCGUAGUACAUACUCCCGCUAUAGAUGCCCGGUGGAUGCUGGCCAGCAACCCCCAACUUACUAAGGUUGACCUCGGAUCAGGUAGGGAUACCCGCUGAACUUAA